GACGAACGCUGGCGGCAUGCCUUACACAUGCAAGUCGAACGGUAACAGGUCUUCGGAUGCUGACGAGUGGCGAACGGGUGAGUAAUACAUCGGAACGUGCCUAGUAGUGGGGGAUAACUACUCGAAAGAGUGGCUAAUACCGCAUGAGAUCUACGGGUGAAAGCAGGGGAUCGCAAGACCUUGUGCUACUAGAGCGGCCGAUGGCAGAUUAGGUAGUUGGUGGGAUAAAAGCUUACCAAGCCGACGAUCUGUAGCUGGUCUGAGAGGACGAUCAGCCACACUGGGACUGAGACACGGCCCAGACUCCGACGGGAGGCAGCAGUGGGGAAUGUUGGACAGUGGGCGCAAGCCUGAUCCAGCAAUGCCGCGUGCAGGAUGAAGGCCUUCGGGUUGUAAACUGCUUUUGUACGGAACGAAAAGCCCCGGGUUAAUACCCUGGGGUCAUGACGGUACCGUAAGAAUAAGCACCGGCUAACUACGUGCCAGCAGCCGCCGUAA
rnacentral:rRNA from 1 species